UACGUAGGUGGCAAGCGUUGUCCGGAUUUAUUGGGUUUAAAGGGUGCGUAGGCGGCCCUGUAAGUCAGUGCUGAAAUAUCCCGGCUUAACCGGGAGGGUGGCAUUGAUACUGCAGGGCUUGAGUGAAGUCGAGGUAGGCGGAAUUGACGGUGUAGCGGUGAAUGCUUAGAUAUCGUCAAGAACACCGAUAGUGAAGACAGCUUACUAGGCUUAUACUGACGCUGAGGCACGAAAGUGUGGGGAUCAGACAGG
rnacentral:rRNA from 1 species